ensembl:lncRNA
CUUGAUGGGGGAUGGGCGGAUGCGCGUGCACAAUAUUCACAUAAUUAGUCACAUGUGUUAUCAGAAACAAACAAAUGUCUGUGACCUUUUAAUGCAAAGGGGAUGUUGGGCCUCCACCCUGCUAAUGAACCUCACCACGUGUUUCUUCACUGAGGACAAAGGAAGGACACAAACAUAUAGGGGUCCCCCGUGGCCUGAUGCCAGGGGCUGAUAACAGGACCCCUGCAGCUCUCCAGACCCCCUUGGCCAUAAAAAGAGGACGUACCAAAGAACACCGAGCGCUCCCAUUGGCCGAGGACAGUGACAUUUAUUCAUGGACCUCAAGUUCAUAAGAAGAGAUUGCGCCAAAGGAUCGAUCUCUUUCGCCUGACUUCCCGUUAGUGACAGAUCGAGACAACACAACGUUGUUUGGUUUCUUUUCUUUCCCUCCAAUUCCCAAGUUUCAGUCUUAAUCUCGCUGGACGAACUCAAGACUCGCGCUCCACUACGUCCCGCUUCCUUUUCCCUUUUGAUUUCAUUCCUGUUGACUCCAGAGGACCGGAGAGACAGCUGCUCUCUGACCCCCCGCCGCCUCUGUUCCCAACGAGAAGUUCAGACCCCACGGCCGAAAUCGCCUUCAUCCACUGAGUUUCCCUACGCGGAGCUCAACUGUCCUCAGUCAGCUGGAAGCUGAUGACCAACGCCCAUCAAACAGUAACACUGGUUUUCUGGGCAGACUAAUUUAGCGUGUUGAUAUGAACUUGAUGUUUAUUUGAUUUGUUCAGUCAUAACGUGGUACGAUAGAGUCCGGAUCAACGAAUCCGCUACCUUUGAUUUAUGUUUGAAUGUGUACCUGCAAAUGUCGUAAUGUCCCCUGUUGAUCUGAUGCUGUGAUACGUUUGCUGUAAGAGAGUGAAAGCGCCGACUGUGUUACGCUGUUGAAUGAUGUCUCAUGGUCAGAAUAGUUCCUUAUUUUAUUUUAUUUUCCCGGGUCUCCGCCGUGAGAUCCGUUUGCCUGUGGUUUCAUUUCGUAUCGCCAGCCACAUCAUUUGUUUCCGUAACUGCACAACUGUUGUUGCGCGCACCGCCGUUCCCCCCACCCCCACCGCCGUUCCUUCCCUGCACCCCCCUCUGUGCUCACACACACACACACACACACACACACACACACACACACACACACACACACACACACACACUGAUUGCUUGUUUAGUGAGUAGGUUUAAAAUAAGUGUUAUGGGGAUUGUUGGUUGCAGUUAUAGGUGAUCUUGAUCGGUGUUCCUGUGAGUUAAUAAACCCUGUUAUACUUUAAAGAACCGUUUUCCU